rnacentral:tmRNA from 1 species
GGGGCCGUUUUUUGGUUUCGACAGAUUAUAGUCUUGUUUUAGUUGCAAGUGGUAGCCAAUCCUAAGUGGCACAAUUAAAAAUAAAUAACAAUAAUUUUAAUUUUGCUCCAGUAGCUGCAUAAUAAAUGCCAGGAGUGCUAAUAAGUUAAUCUUCCAUAGUUAAUUUAUUGGUUCAUAUAUGUGGAAUAUAUUUAUAUUAGAUCUCUAAUGAUAUAAAUGAAUUUCUUAUGAGAUAGCAAGUAUUAGGCUGAUAGAUACAUUUUUACUUGCGAAAACAUAUUUCUAUCUAAACUUGUAGAUGCUACUAUGAAGAGUAAUUUGGACAGCGGUUCGAGUCCGCUCGGCUCCACCA